CAUCCACUUUCAAAAAAACAUUUCUUUCGCUCUCAAACUGGUGCAGAAACAAUGAGCUACUCUUAAAUGUUUCAAA
rnacentral:lncRNA from 1 species